AGACUGAUAAAACAGGCAAACUAUUUUUUGCUAAUAAUGGAUUCUAGCUGUGAGCUCACAUAUUUUAUAAAAUAAAUAAGUGUUGAUGGUGGAAGUGACUGAGAAAAAUUUAUUUUGAACUGUGGACUACUCUGUACCCUCACCUAUGGAACAACUUAGGAAAGUGAUGUUUUAUUUCAUAAGGUGUGGUUACUAGUCUUAAUCACAUGAUGCUGUUUUAUUUACUGUGCUCAUAUUUAAAGGGAAAGUGAAAUAUGGCUAUCUUGUAGAUAAUGUUAAAUAUGACUGACUAAAAGUACAUGAUCUAAUAUAUGCAAGGUCCUGGUUAAAUCUCAAGCAAUAACAAAACAUUUUCUAAC